CCUACGGGAGGCAGCAGUGGGGAAUAUUGCACAAUGGGGGAAACCCUGAUGCAGCGACGCCGCGUGAGUGAAGAAGUAUUUCGGUAUGUAAAGCUCUAUCAGCAGGGAAGAAAAUGACGGUACCUGAUUAAGAAGCCCCGGCUAACUACGUGCCAGCAGCCGCGGUAAUACGUAGGGGGCAAGCGUUAUCCGGAUUUACUGGGUGUAAAGGGAGCGUAGACGGUUAUGUAAGUCUGGAGUGAAAGCCCGGGGCCCAACCCCGGGACUGCUUUGGAAACUGUGUAACUGGAGUACAGGAGGGGCAGGCGGAAUUCCUGGUGUAGCGGUGAAAUGCGUAGAUAUCAGGAGGAACACCAGUGGCGAAGGCGGCUUACUGGACUGUAACUGACGUUGAGGCUCGAAAGCGUGGGGAGCAAACAGGAUUAGAUACCCUUGUAGUC
rnacentral:rRNA from 1 species